rnacentral:sRNA from 1 species
CUUGGUCAUUUAGAGGAAGUAAAAGUCGUAACAAGAUUUCCGUAGGUGAACCUGCGGAAGGAUCAUUAAAACAAUAAUGAAUGUCGGGGGAGGGCGCUUCGGUGCUCUUACCCGUGUAUUCAACCAAACCCGCUCGUGUAUUUGGAUCAACCAAAAAAAACAAACAAAAAUUUUAACGAUAAUAAUUAAACAAACUUUCAACAACGGAUCUCUUGGCUCUCGCAUCGAUGAAGAACGCAGCGAAAUGCGAUAAGUAGUGUGAAUUGCAGAACUUUGUGAACCAUCGAAUCUUUGAACGCAAAUUGCGCCUUCUUUCGGAAGACAUGUCUGUUUGAGGGCACCAUUUAACAAAUAAUGUGCGCGUCGUUUUUACGAGCGACGUGCGCACGUUGAUGAGCUUUUCCGAAAAAACCCGGUUUUUUUGGUGGCGCAUAAUGAACAGCGUGGGCUUUUUCUUCGAUUCUCGUGUAGUAAAUUUCAAAACAACGCUUGGGUUGAGAAAAAGUGCGUGCCGCGCAAUGGGUGUGGCGAAUUUACCCCUGCCCCAAUGCCACUCUUUCCCUGCGAAAGAACAUCUUUUAUUCAGGGCCUCAAAUCAGACAAGAGUACCCGCUGAACUUAAGCAUAUCAAUAAGCGGAGGAAAAGAAACUAACAAGGAUUCCCCUAGUAACGGCGAGUGAAGCGGGAACAGCUCAAAUUUUAAAUCUGGCUGCUUUGUAGUCCGAGUUGUAAUUUGAAGGAGUCUUGCCGCUGGCAAAACGAUGGCACAAGUCCUCUGGAACGGGGCAUCGUAGAGGGUGAGAAUCCCGUCUCUGGUCAUCACGCGCCGGCAUACGGCAGGCAUCCGAAGAGUCGAGUUGUUUGGGAAU